rnacentral:rRNA from 1 species
GGCCUAACACAUGCAAGUCGAGCGGAAACGACACUAACAAUCCUUCGGGUGCGUUAAUGGGCGUCGAGCGGCGGACGGGUGAGUAAUGCCUAGGAAAUUGCCUUGAUGUGGGGGAUAACCAUUGGAAACGAUGGCUAAUACCGCAUAAUGCCUACGGGCCAAAGAGGGGGACCUUCGGGCCUCUCGCGUCAAGAUAUGCCUAGGUGGGAUUAGCUAGUUGGUGAGGUAAUGGCUCACCAAGGCGACGAUCCCUAGCUGGUCUGAGAGGAUGAUCAGCCACACUGGAACUGAGACACGGUCCAGACUCCUACGGGAGGCAGCAGUGGGGAAUAUUGCACAAUGGGCGAAAGCCUGAUGCAGCCAUGCCGCGUGUAUGAAGAAGGCCUUCGGGUUGUAAAGUACUUUCAGUUGUGAGGAAGGGGGUAGCGUUAAUAGCGCUAUCUCUUGACGUUAGCAACAGAAGAAGCACCGGCUAACUCCGUGCCAGCAGCCGCGGUAAUACGGAGGGUGCGAGCGUUAAUCGGAAUUACUGGGCGUAAAGCGCAUGCAGGUGGUUCAUUAAGUCAGAUGUGAAAGCCCGGGGCUCAACCUCGGAACUGCAUUUGAAACUGGUGAACUAGAGUACUGUAGAGGGGGGUAGAAUUUCAGGUGUAGCGGU